rnacentral:rRNA from 1 species
UACGUAGGGGGCAAGCGUUGUCCGGAAUCAUUGGGCGUAAAGCGCGUGUAGGCGGCCCGGUAAGUCCGCUGUGAAAGUCCGGGGCUCAACCCCGGGAGGCGGGCGGAUACUGUCGGGCUAGAGUCCGGAAGAGGCGAGUGGAAUUCCUGGUGUAGCGGUGAAAUGCGCAGAUAUCAGGAGGAACACCAGCGGCGAAGGCGGCGCUCUGGGCCGGUACUGACACUGAGGAGCGAAAGCGUGGGGAGCGAACAGG